AUGCCGCUCACGAUCAGGAAGGCCACAACAUCUCAACUACAGGAUUUGGUGGACCGCGUUGCGGAUUGCCUUCCACUUUGGAAGGCGGUCAUGCUGACGAAGAGUGGACAAUUACUGCUUGUCCAAUCUGUUAUGUGUGCUAUCCCGGUUCAUACAAUGAUGGCACUUGAUCUUCCUGCGAGAACAUUAGCGGCACUGGUCAAGAUCUGCAGAGGUUUCCUAUGGUGCGGUAAGGAGGCCGGUGGUGGAAGUUGCUCUGUCGCGUGGGAUGUAGUCUGCACGCCCAAAUGGGCUGGCAGGCUAGGGCUACCCAACCUACACUAGCUGAACAAGGCACUUCAGGCGCGAUGGGCAUGGCUUCAGAGAACUAACAAGGAAAGGCCAUGGGCUGACUUCUCGAUCGUUGUUCCUGCGGAGUCACGGGCCCGGGUGGAUGCAGCUGCGCGGACGAGGAUUGGGGAUGGGAAAUCCACCCUAUUCUGGGAAGAUAGAUGGAUCUAG
rnacentral:rRNA from 1 species